UUAAAUUGAAGAGUUUGAUCAUGGCUCAGAUUGAACGCUGGCGGCAGGCCUAACACAUGCAAGUCGAACGGUAACAGGAAGCAGCUUGCUGCUUUGCUGACGAGUGGCGGACGGGUGAGUAAUGUCUGGGAAACUGCCCGAUGGAGGGGGAUAACUACUGGAAACGGUAGCUAAUACCGCAUAACGUCGCAAGACCAAAGAGGGGGACCUUAGGGCCUCUUGCCAUCGGAUGUGCCCAGAUGGGAUUAGCUAGUAGGUGGGGUAACGGCUCACCUAGGCGACGAUCCCUAGCUG
rnacentral:rRNA from 1 species